rnacentral:rRNA from 1 species
UACGAAGGGAGCUAGCGUUGUUCGGAAUCACUGGGCGUAAAGCGCACGUAGGCGGAUGUGUCAGUCAGGGGUGAAAUCCCGGAGCUCAACUUCGGAACUGCCCUUGAUACAGCACAUCUGGAGUCCGGAAGAGGUGGGUGGAAUUCCUAGUGUAGAGGUGAAAUUCGUAGAUAUUAGGAAGAACACCGGUGGCGAAGGCGGCCCACUGGUCCGGUACUGACGCUGAGGUGCGAAAGCGUGGGGAUCAAACAGG